GCGAGAUCAUGACCUGAGCUGAAGUCGGAUGCUUAACCGAGCCACCCAGUUAUCUCAUCAAGAGAGGCCUCACAAAGGACGACAGAGAAUGGUCUGUAUUCGUGUUUUGAUUCAAUAACUCAUAAUACUGAAAGUACGUCCACAGACUGAAAACCGGAAUGUCAUCUUUUACGGACAAAACUGCAGUGACUCACCUUGGACAGACCUUUCCUGACAUGAAAGUUAAAGUCCUAGAAGAGGAAUUGUUAGAUCCUUUGUGCAUUUGUAAUUUUGAUACAUAUUGCCAAACUACCCUCUAUAGAGUUCAUAUUAACUUACAGAUUGACAGGAACAAGGAUGCAUUUUCCCACACCCUUACCAAUGCAGUGUGUUGGCAAGUAUUUUGAUAUUUGCCAAUUUUGGGAGAAAUGAGCAUCUCCUUAUAGUUUUAAUGUGGACGUCUUUUGUAAGAAAUUACGUUUCGGAGCUGUUUCCUUUUCUGUGAGUCAAUUGCUUUUAAAAAUCUUUUCAACUGAGAACAAA